rnacentral:rRNA from 1 species
GACGCACGCUGGCGGCGUGCUUAACACAUGCAAGUCGAACGAAGUGGCGAACGGGUGAGUAACGCGUAAUCAACCUGCCCUUCAGAGGGGGACACCAGUUGGAAACGACUGCUAAUACCGCAUACUGAAGAGAGGGAUUGCGGCUGAAUAACUAGUUGGUGGGGUAAAGGCCUACCAAGGCGACGAUCCGUAGCUGGUCUGAGAGGAUGAUCAGUCACACUGGAACUGAGACACGGUCCAGACUCCUACGGGAGGCAGCAGUGGGGAAUAUUGGACAAUGGGCGAAAGCCUGAUCCAGCCAUGCCGCGUGUGUGAAGAAGGUCUUCGGAUUGUAAAGCACUUUAAGUUGGGAGGCGUUACCAACAGAAUAAGCACCGGCUAACUUCGUGCCAGCAGCCGCGGUAAUAC